AUGAAGAAAAGACCAGACUUAAACAGAAAAUGUGAUGUCCAAUUACAAAAUUCAAGAGAAGCACAAAAAGAGAAGAGAUUAUUUUGGACUGAAAUUUAUGUCCCUGUGAGACGCUGCCAUGCCAUCUUAAAGAACAAAAAGGGGGAGUUUUCAGUCCCAGUCAUUCGGAAUCGCCGUUUUAAGAACAUCUGGUGUAACUGGACCAUCUGGGCAGGCCCCAGAAACCACAUUAUCAUCUAUGUCCAAGGGUUUAGGGGAAGCAAGGAUUGUAAAGAAAAUGCAGAUAAAAUUAUAUUUGAGAGUGUUGCCUCUAUUAUGGAAAGCACCAUUGCCUAUGCUUGUUGGAACAAGAGAGUACACGUCUAUGCAUCUCAGGCCUUGGCUGUGAAUGUGGCAUUGCUGUUAAAUAACUAUACCUGGAACCAACGAUAUAAAUAUUUUAGAGGGAAAUAUUAUAUCUUCAGAGAUCCCAGGGAAAGAACUUUAGAGAAAGGGGAUCUAACUUACAAAGUUCCUCUUCAAAGACCUUCCUGCAAGCUUACUUACAGUAGUACUGGGCUAAAGGUUGAACUACCAGUUGGGACAUCUCAAAGAGGUCUAGAGGUGACCUCUCCUGAACCAAUGCCAUCAAAAGAUCUUCAACCAGAGGGAUCUUUCACAUGGGGAAGAGAGGAGGUAGAGUUUUCUGAGAUCUCUUUGCCUUACUUAUUUCCAUUGAACUCUGAGAGGUUAUCUGGUAAAUCCCAGGUAGACAGCAUCAUCAGCACAAAAACACUAGAUGUGGGUGAGAUGAGCCUUGGGGAUGGAUUGUUUUUCAAAGCUCUAGGGAAAACUGCAGCCCUUGAUAUUAGAUGGUUGGAAAUUACACAAGAAAAGAACAUUCUUUCCCUUGGGUCUACUAUGGAUGGCUCAACAGUUGACCUUGAUAUCCUUUAUGAAAAUACUCCUUACCUUGUGAGUCCUACACCAUCAACUACAAUGGGAGAUGAAUCUAUAAAUAUCAAAUCAGAAAGAGUUGAUAAUCAAACUGACUACUUAAUUCCCACUUCAGAGGAUGCUACAAUAAACAUUAAGCCAAUUCCCAUAAGCCAUUCCAUUUUGGGUAUUCUCUCAGAUACAGAAUUCCUUGAAAAGACUAAAUACUCUAAAAAUGAGAAGAUUCAGAUCAGUCCCUCCCAGAUAAGGAGUAGUUUAUCUGGAAGUGAACAGCAGUCCUUUCUGCAGACUGAAGUCCUGACUCAGGAAGCUUUAACAAUAUCCACUGAUUCUAUGGAGAUUCAUAUAUCCAGUAUUGACCUGGCCUAUGAAACUCAGUUCCCUCUUGAAGGUUCCUUGCACUCAAUCCCCGUGGUUCCAACAGUUCAUACAGCUAUGGAUUUUUCUCCUAAAUCUUCUCAAGAAAUCUUCAGUGACAUGGGGUUCAUGCUUAUGGUGACAUCUCUAGAUGGCAGAGGAUUAGUCCCUGAACUGCCUUCAACCAUCUCCAUUAGAUCCACAGAGGUCAGAACUGAGGCUGAGCCAGAACUUCUCCAAACAGCCAGAUCACUUCCAGGGCUAGCAGAGACAGAAAGCUUGUCCAGCUGUGUGAUCUCUGAAGAAGCCCCUAGUAGGCAUCAAAUGAGUCUUGCUGAAUCAUACCUGAAGUUUGUUGUCAGUCAAGAAAGGUUUCUUCCCUUUACUACUUACCAGGAGAAUCUAUCUGAUGUUGAAUUGACCCUAACUCCUUCCCAAGUGAUUAAGUCUGUAAGUGUCUCUGAGUGGGUUCUCCAAAAAAUUCCAGUGUCCAUUCCCUCAGUCUAUCACAGUGAACAAGUUUCAACUGAGCAGACUUUAGGGAUCCCUUUGACUUUAACCCAGGGAGCUAUGCUAAAAGCCAAACAGCCUUCCAUGACCCCAUUUGAGACUAGAACUGAGAUAGACUCCAUGCUGGUUGUUCAAAGUAUAACCACACCUUUUGGUUCAGUGCAUCAUGAAGAAGAGAGCAUGGCAGCUACUGUGUUCUCUUUUGGGAUUCCCUUGAGUCACCAUCCAAAUUUUUCUAAGAGCAACAUGGAAUGUUAUUUCUCAAAUCCAACUGCAGAAUCUCUUGCCUUCCUCCCCACUCCUACACCAAGCAUAAAUGAAGACAAGCAUACUCUUAGAAGUUUAUCAAGUCAUUCCUGGACUGAUCCAGGAGAAAUGUUUUCAAGUGUAGGAAAAACUGAGCCACUUCCACUGUUUGCUUUGAAGAAUGUAGGUGUUACUACCUCUGAAUCAAGUCCUAGAAGACUUGGACUUAGCGUAAAGAAUUUCUUUGACCCAUUAGAAGGUGAAUCCCUUAUUGAAAAAGGAACACAGAGUAUAUCUCAACUAGUCUCCAAGGACAAUUUUUCACAAGGUAGGGAUGCUUCUUCAGGAAGUAAGAUUUCCUUGGUUUCUAAAACUUAUUCUAAAAUGACUCUCCUGUCAGCUCUGCAAUCAAUCCCUAGCAGUGCCAUGACUAUAUCUUGGAAACCUGAUGAAAUUCAGACCGAAAUGACUGUUCAGCCCUCAAAGAAGGAUGAGACAGUGAAUAAAAGCAAGCCUUGGAAACCCUUCAACUCCUUUGGACAGAACCAGAAUCUUGCCAAAGCCAACUUUAUAUCUUUGUUCCCUAGUGUUCCAUCAAUGUCCUUGGGUAAGUGGGACCAGACAGGGGACCUUCCUGCAGUCUCCUCAUCCCCGCCUCUCUGGUCUAAGGAUACAGACCUUUUGGAAGCCAAAAAUCUUCAAGACUCUGAGAUCUUUACUCCAUCCAGCAUGGUAGCGUAUCUUCCUAUAAGAAGGUGUCAUGUGGUUUUGGAAGAUACCUUUGGAACUUUUUCAUUGCCAGAGGAUCUAAGUACUUCUUGGCCAAACAUCUGGUGUAACUGGACUAUCUGGGCAGGGACCAAGAAACACAUUAUUGUUUACAUCAAAGGAUUUGAGGGGCCUGAGAACUGUGAUGAAAGCCAGGACAAAAUAAUUUUUCAAGGGGUCUCAUCAAGUGUGGAAAGGAAAAUCUUCUAUGCAUGUAGAAAGCAAGGAACUUUGACUUUUGCUACUCAAGCCCUGGCUGUCCACAUAGUGUUUCUCUCUAUGAGAUCUUAUCCUAGACAUAUUCCAUCUUUUGAAGGCGAGUAUUUUAUCUUCACAGACCCAGAGAGACAAGUUCCUCCUAAAUCUGUCUUUGGGUCUUCCCAAGCAACUUCUCAGAGGCUCAGAGAGAGGAGUCCAAGUAGCCUGAAUUCUCAUCCUGACCUAGUGUCAAAACUGUCCUUUGGGAGUUUUCCAAACAUGAACAGCAUCUGUACAGGUCUGGAGGACAAAAGACAAAUAGUCACUGAGACACUGAUCAUGAAGAACAAAGAGCUAGUAGAGAGAGAAAGAAAGGGUCUUGAAAGGAAGCAACUGUGUGGCUUCCUUCCUCUGAUCCCUACUAAAGGUCCAUUGAUAAUGAACAAAAACCCAUCACCUCUCCUGAUUAGGCAGAAACUCAGCAGAUCCAUAGACAGUAUAAAAAAUUCAGUUCAAAGAGACUCUGCUGUCAGGAUGGCAUUAAUCCCAAAUAUCUUGUAUGAGCACAAACCAGAAAAUAAAGCUACUCAAGGUGACUUGCCUGUAGACUCAUUGUUAAUAUACUCUCAUUGGCCUUCUAAGACUUUGCCCUUGACAAAACUGCUCCCCAAACCUGCAGGCAUUUCUGACAGGCUUCUUCCAUCUGCCAUUGUUCAAGAACAGAGGUUGUCUUGGAGUUCUGCUGAAGCAGAGUCCCUUGCAUUGCAAGGGGACCUUGAUAUUACUAGGUCUUCUAACUUUUAUUCCCACUUGAUGGCUCAGAGUAUAAGGAAACCCCAGGAUGCUGUGAAUCAUCGUGAUCAUCUUUACCAGAGUUUCAGCCAUGUGAAGCUGGUUAAAGAAAAGAAUUUUCUAGAAGCAAUGUCUGGAGGUGAUGAGCUCACAGUGGACACCUUAAAUAUCCCUAAAGAAGAAUUGUCCUCAAAUCUUCUAUUCAAUGUUAAACAGUUAGAUCCAGAAUCCAGUGCCGCUAGCAAAGAGAGAGGUGGGGAAAUGUUCUCAACAAAGUUGGUGAGCAAGGGAGUCAAUUUGGAUCCAACUCAGUUCAUCACUUUGCAAAAUCUCAGUGAGGAGCUACAAGGUCCGGAAAGCUCUAGGAGAGUGACAAUGUCCAAUGGAUUUGUGAGGGAUUCUAUAUCUUCUGGCAGCUUGGCUGAUCUCUCUUCUUUCAUGAAGACUCUUCACACUCCCCAGAAUUUCUUCAGAGAAGUCACAGAUGAUUUCCAACCAAGCACUGCUGGUGCUGACACAAGUCCUUCAGUACCUAACUUCCAAGCCAAAGAGGGUCUGCAGACCAAGGCUUUGCUAUCUUUGAGCCCUGAUCAAGUGUGGAAGAACAUGACAACUGAAGGAGUCUUAGUUUUAACCCCAGGAUAUCCUGAUGCAAGAACAACCUCCCAAUCUUUUGGAAAUGGGUCUGCCUUAGAUUUCCAACACUAUCCAGGAGAUAUCCUAUUGGAAGUGACAAUCGAAACGGAGUACCCGGUAAAGAGCCUGCACAAUGCCUCGGAAGUGGAGAAAGUCUUGGUAGAUUUAUUUAAGCAAGAGAUUGAGGAAAAUCUAGGCCACUUUUCACCUGAAACAGAUGCAUUCAAACUAACCAGAAUUAAGAGAAAGGACACCUCAAAUGUCAUGUUUGUUUUCUGGCUACAUCUGAUGUCUAGAGGGAGAAAUAUAUCCAAUUACCUGAUGCCCCAAUUUGGAGCUUCUCUGAGCAGUACCCUGCAUUCCCAAUUAAGAACUCUCAUCAGAGAUGCCAUAGAAGCUCUCCAAAUUCAUCUGAAAUCUAUCUCCAUUGACGAUGUAAAUGAAUGUGAAACUGGCCUAGAACAUUGUGGUGAAGGGGCUGAGUGUUUCAAUGGAGUUGGCACUUACAUUUGCCAUUGCAAAGAAGACCAUGAAGACCGUUCCCCAAUGCAGACUGGAAUCCUAUGUGUCCAUGUCCCACAUUCAGGUACUAUAGAGUCAAUGCCCAUCAUGGUACAUACUACUUACAGAGAAACCCCAAGAUAAAUUU
ensembl:lncRNA